GAUGAACGCUGGCGGCGUGCCUAAUACAUGCAAGUCGAGCGAACGGACGAGAAGCUUGCUUCUCUGAUGUUAGCGGCGGACGGGUGAGUAACACGUGGAUAACCUACCUAUAAGACUGGGAUAACUUCGGGAAACCGUAGCUAAUACCGGAUAAUAUUUUGAACCGCAUGGUUCAAAAGUGAAAGACGGUCUUGCUGUCACUUAUAGAUGGAUCCGCGCUGCAUUAGCUAGUUGGUAAGGUAACGGCUUACCAAGGCAACGAUGCAUAGCCGACCUGAGAGGGUGAUCGGCCACACUGGAACUGAGACACGGUCGAGACUCCUACGGGAGGCAGCAGUAGGGGAUCUUCCGCAAUGGGCGAAAGCCUGACGGAGCAACGCCGCGUGAGUGAUGAAGGUCUUCGGAUCGUAAAACUCUGUUAUUAGGGAAGAACAUAUGUGUAAGUAACUGUGCACAUCUUGACGGUACCUAAUCAGAAAGCCACGGCUAACUACGUG
rnacentral:rRNA from 1 species